UACGUAGGGCGCAAGCGUUGUCCGGAAUUAUUGGGCGUAAAGAGCUCGUAGGCGGCUUGUCACGUCGGGUGUGAAAGCCCGGGGCUUAACCCCGGGUCUGCAUUCGAUACGGGCUAGCUAGAGUGUGGUAGGGGAGAUCGGAAUUCCUGGUGUAGCGGUGAAAUGCGUAGAUAUCCGGAGGAACACCGGUGGCGAAGGCGAGGUGCUGGACCCUUUCUGACGCUGAUGCGCGAAAGCCAGGGGAGCAAACGGG
rnacentral:rRNA from 1 species